CGAAGUGAAAGACGAUGAACUUUGCUUAAACGGUCUUACAAAGUUGGAAGAUGAUUAUCGAGGUGUGUUUAAACCUUCGAAUUAUUUAAUAUUGUGUGUAUUCAUUAUUUUGUUUUAUAGAGGAUUUGCCGUAAGAUCCUAACGCGAUCGUUUUAACACAAUCGCAGUCUGCUGGCGGGUCCAUCAACGGCCGUUCCAGGCAGAGGAGAAGGCUUGAUUGCGCCAAAGACUCCAGACAUCGAAUCCUUGCUCCGAGGGGAAAUCAUCGAAAACGACGGUGAAUGUCCGACAGGCACCCGCUAUUGGUAGCACUGGACAAGUCGGAUAUCCUUGCUUGGAUCCUUUUAAAGUUGCCCGAUAAACUGCUGAGAGUUGAUCUCUCCUCUUGUCCAAAGGUUUUUCGUUCAUUUUUACUUGUAAUACUGGCACUAGGGUUGAUGUAGUAGCUCCACAACAUAACCUUAAAGCCUGUGACUGGAUCCGGUCUAUUUUCCCAAGUCAUGUUUUUGAAGCAGAUUGGUAAAUAAUGCAUCCGUAAUCAAUAACAGAUGGAAUUAAAGUUAUAAAUAUAUACAUGUAUUGUUUUCAACGUUAACCUAUCAGCCCCCCAAUCAUUACCCCUCAAAGACCUCAUUAUAUUUAACACCUUUUUACUUUUUCCCCUAUUUUUUUAUUUUCCGGAAGGAACACUCCUGAAGGAAUAAAUAAAGUACUAUCUAAUCUAAUCUAAUCAAAUCUAUUUUGCUGAUGUGGGUUGACUAGUUCAUAUUUUUAUCAAACCAUAUUCCUAAAUAUUUAAAUACUUGUACCUCUUCUAUAUUUUCACCUUAGAGUUUUUAUUUGGAGCUUGUUUUGUACUUUUGUCUUUGUAAAAUGUAUGACUUUUGUCUUUCCAACAGAGAAUCUUAAACCUCAAGCCGUUCCCCAGUCUUGAACAUUAUUUACCACUUUGUUAGUUUUUUGAUUAUUUCUUUUGACUCUAAAUAAUAUACUAGUCUUUCAUUAAUCUUUUUUUUUUUUUCCAUUACUUUUCCCCAAAUUUAUAAUUUCCUGCCUCUUCCGGGUCUUACCCUGACUUGCAUAUUGGAAUUGUUACCGCUAAUUUUCCCCUCUGCCGGUCAUUCUCCUUCUUCAUAUAUCCUGUCAUAUCAUUUCAAGACCACUUCUUUGACGAUGCCACCUAAGUUUUUGAUCAUUUGAUA